rnacentral:tRNA from 1 species
GCAGAUGUAGUUUAACGGUAAAACAUUAGCCUUCCAAGCUGAGGUCGUGGGUUCAACUCCCAUCAUCUGCU